rnacentral:rRNA from 1 species
CUCCUUUGACGUUAGCGGCGGACGGGUGAGUAACACGUGGGUAACCUACCUAUAAGACUGGGAUAACUUCGGGAAACCGGAGCUAAUACCGGAUAAUAUUUCGAACCGCAUGGUUCGAUAGUGAAAGGUGGUUUUGCUAUCACUUAUAGAUGGACCCGCGCCGUAUUAGCUAGUUGGUAAGGUAACGGCUUACCAAGGCGACGAUACGUAGCCGGCCUGAGAGGGUGAUCGGCCACACUGGAACUGAGACACGGUCCAGACUCCUACGGGAGGCAGCAGCC